ACGGCUCAGUAACACGUGGCUAACCUGCCCUUUGGACCGGAAUACCCCCGGGAAACUGGGGCUAAUUCUCGAUAGGUGAAGAACUCUGGAAUGAGUCUUCGCCAAAUAGACCCUGCGUUACGCUCGUAGGCGUCGCCAAAGGAUGGGGCCGCGACCGAUCAGGUUGUUGGUGAGGUAAUGGCUCACCAAGCCUUUUACCGGUGCGGGCCGUGGGAGCGGGAGCCCGGAGAUGGGCACUGAGACAAGGGCCCAGGCCCUACGGGGCGCAGCAGUCGCGAAAACUUUGCAAUAAGCGAAAGCUUGACAGGGCUAUCCCGAGUGCCAUCCGCUGAGGAAGGCUUUUACCCAGUCUAGAACGCUGGGGGAAUAAGGAGAGGGCAAGUCUGGUGUCAGCCGCCGCGGUAAUACCAGCUCUCCGAGUGGUGUGGAUGUUUAUUGGGCCUAAAGCAUCCGUAGCUGGCUAGGUUAGUCCCCUGUUAAAUCCACCGAAUUAAUCGUUGGAUUGCGGGGGAUACUGCUUGGCUAGGGGACGAGAGAGGCAGACGGUAUUUCCGGGGUAGGGGUGAAAUCCUAUAAUCCCGGGAAGACCACCAGUGGCGAAGGCUGUCUGCUAGAACGCGCCCGACGGUGAGGGAUGAAAGCUGGGGGAGCGAACCGGAUUAGAUACCCGGGUAGUCCCAGCUGUAAACGAUGCAGACUAGGUGUUUGGACGGCCACGUGCCGUUCUAGUGCCGCAGGGAAGCUGUUAAGUCUGCCGCCUGGGGAGUACGAUCGCAAGAUUGAAACUUAAAGGAAUUGGCGGGGGAGCAC
rnacentral:rRNA from 1 species